AGGGCAAAACUUCCAGCAUCCCAGCUUCUACAGCUCUGCAUCCCCAAAUGGCCCUUCCCCUUUCCACGCCAAGUGGAAGAGGCAGCCCCCCGCCCCGUAAUGCUACAACCACCCCUGUGCAUGUCCCUCUAUCUAUGGAGGAGAACUUAAUCAGUCAUCCUUUCUCUCCCUUGAAUCUCUGCCUUCUUCCUUUCCUCCAGCUCUGUCUCUUCUGCCUCUGAACAUGCUAGAACCCUGCCCAUCCUAAAAUCAUCCUUUCCUCAGGAAGCCCACCGCUCCUUCUCCUCAGACUUUCUAACUGAGCUCCUCAAAGUAGCAGCAGCAAACAGGCAUCUCCACUUCAUCAGCCCAGGUCAUCACCCUGGGUGAUGAAUUAUGACGCUGAGACAGUCCUUUCCUUUUUUUUUUUUUUUGCUUUUUAGGGCUGCACCUGAGGCAUAUGGAGGUCCCCAGGCUAGGGGCUGAACUGGAGCUACAGCUGCUGGCCUAGGCCACAGCUAGAGCAACAUGGGAUCUAAGCCACAUCUGCAACCUACACCACAGCUCACAGCAAUGCCGGAUCACUGAGCGAGGCCAGGGAUCAAACCCACAUCCUCAUGGAUACUAGUGGGGUUCAUGAACCGCUGAGCCACGAUGGGCACUUCCCUGAAACAGUCACUGCUAAUGACACCUCCUAAGAGUGAGGUUCAGUGGACAGGUGCCGACAUUUCUCUCGAUGAUUUUAUGGCACUUGAUAGCACUGCAUUCCCUCCUUCUUGAAAUUCUCCCCCACCUUGAUCGACAAGACCUGCUCUCUCCUGACCUUCUUCUCCAUCUACUCCUUCUUGGUUUUCUUUACUGGCUCCUCUUCCUCUACCUCUCCCCUAAAUGUUAGUGUUUCCUAGGGUUCCAUCUGGAACCCUCCUCUUACCUUACAAGCUCUAUUCUGUUUUGCGUUUCCAUCGUGGCGCAGCAGAAAUGAAUCUGAUUAGGAACCAUGAGCUUGCAGGUUCAACCCCUGGCCUCACUCAGUGGGUUAAGGAUCUGGUGUUGCCGUGAGCUGUGGUGUAGGUUGCAGACGCAGCUCGGAUCCUGAGUUGCUGUGGCUGUGGUAUAGGUCAGCAGCUGCAGCUCCGAUUAGACCCCUAGCCUGGGAACCUCCAUGUGCCUUGGGUGCAGCCCUGAAAAGACAAAAAGACAAAAACAAAAAACAAAACGAAACAAGCUCUACUCUGUUUGAAAUCAUCCACAAACACAAUUGUAAUUGACAGCUACAUAUGAGUGACUUCCAAACCUAUAUAUCUGCAGUCCAGACCACUCAUGUGAGCGCUCCACACCCUGGCUACAUCUACCUGCCAUAUCUCCAUGUGGAUUCCAUGGGCACCUCAAAUUCAGUGUGGCUAAAGCCACACUAUGCAGCUUGCUUUUACCACACUUGCUCCUCCUCUUCCUACACUGAUAAUGACAAGCAUUGUUGAGUACCACAUCAGUUUGGGUUUUCCAGAGAAACAGAACCAAUAGAGUGUGUGUGUGUGUUUGUGUGUGUGUGUGUGUACACAAAAGUAAAUUAAGAGAUUUAUUUUAAGGAACUGGUUCACAUGAUUAUAGGGGAUGGCAACUCUGAAAUCUGUAGAGAGGACCAGCAGGCUAGAAAUGCAGGCAAGAGCUGACCUGCAGUCUUGGACUCAAACAGGCACUCUGGAAUCCGGGUCUAGUCUUCUCACCUCUGCAUCCACAGUAUGCUACACAAUGCCUAACACACAGCAGAACUCAAUAAACAUUGGCUAAUGGCCAACUGGGUAUAAAGAGAAAUGCUACUAAAUGAGAAGGGAACAAAAGGAUGUAGAGGGCACUGAAUUAUGGUAAGGAAGGAUCAGGAAACUUGAACAAGGGCUGUGCUGUAAACCAAAACAUAGCCCUUCUGGGGCAUUCAUUGGCCAGAAUUACCUGACCUACAACUGAAUGGGAACCUUCACAUCCACUCCAACAGGAAUGUCUCAACAACCCUGUGAAGUUGGCAUGGCCAAGAAAAAGGCCACAUUUUAUGAGUAAAUUGAGGCUCAGAAAGACUAAGGGUCUUGUCUACGUUGCUAUAAUGGAAGGUCUUAGUUCUUCUGUGAUAAGCAGGUAGGAGGGACCAUAAAAACAACAGGUCAGAACCAAAGAGGACCCAUGCAGGUCAAAACUAUUUACCCAAAUCUGCAAAAACCAAAAACAGCUUCUACUUACAAAGGAUACUUUUUAUUUUAUAAUUACUAUUCAAAUACAUUUUUUCUUACUGUACUAUAAUUCCAUAGUAUAUAUUAGAUUAUUAGCACUAUCACAGUAGUAAUAAAUUUCUGGUUAUAUAAUAAAUAUCUAGAAGCACUGCUUUCUAAAAUAAUGCCAAUACAGCUGGUUUUCAUUCUUUCUUUUUUUUUGUCUUUUUGUCUUUUUGUAUUUUGACGGCCACAUUUGCAGCAUAUGGAGGUUCCCAGGCUAGGGGUCUAAUUGGAGCUGUAGCCGCCGGCCUACACCAUAGCCACAGCAAUGCCAGAUCCGAGCCACGCCUGCGAGCUACACCACAGCCACGGCAACGCCGGAUCCUUAACCCACUGAGUGAGGCCAGGGAUAGAAUCCUCAACCUCAUGAUUCCUAGUCAGAUUCGUUUCUGCUGCACCAUGACGGGAACUCCUGGUUUUCUUAUUUAUUAUUAAUAAACAUUAUAACAGUGAAAUAUUAAUAACACAUAGUCCAAAUACUGAUUUUAGUGAUUCUCUGAAGCCACAGAGUAGUGGAAAACCCCCACUAGCUAUUGCUAUUGAAUGAGGCAGAGGCUGAUUUAUUCCACCUAUAUUUGCAUAUACAGUAAUUUAACCUUUUUAAAACUCUUAUUGAGGUACUGUCAUUUAAGCGCUACAAAACCUUUUUAAAAGGUUUAUUCCAGUUGAUAGAAGAGAUGCAAACACCUAAGGUCGUGUAACUGAUAAAAGGCAAAAGCAGGACUAAACACCGGGCCUUCCUGCCUCGGGCUUACCGUGAAUUUGCAAAUCUAUCAUGGCCUCCUGGCCAUGGAGCCACCAGACUGUCUGUGGCAUGAGGCCAGAGAAAGAGGCCAUGUCUGACUUGCUCCCCACUGGUGUCUAGCACAGUACCUGACACACAGCAGACACACAAUAAGUACAUUAUUGGUGAGCAACUGAAUUCAUUUUCUUAGAGUUACUUUAGUCACCUGCAUGGUAGAAUGGAGCAUAUGGUAUUGCCAAAUACCUUGGCUUUUAAGAUGUUAUCGGCAUUAUUAGGAAUAAACAAAAAAGGAAACAUUAUCUUAUCAAACCUGUAUAUGUUGAUUCCCAAGGGGAUCAGAUUUCUGAGCCAGGGCCCCAGGAUUGUAUAUUUUUCCAGCUUCCUAGAAAAUUAAAUGUUGGCUUGAUGGAGGAAGUAGAAGACGGAAAAUGGAGGCUUCACAUGGGAAAGUAAAAACUGCAAAGUCUUGGGCAUAAUAUAACCAUUUGCAAGGCUGGUACAACAGCUCAGCCAUCACUAACUUAGCAUGGCAAGAAGAGGGCUUGCUAAAGGAGUGAGGAUUCACACAGAGGGAUACACAUCAACAAGACAGAAUCCACGCUAUGGCAGGAAGACACAGGUCUGAGGCAGGACAAGCCCAGUAACAAGGACCACAGAGGCUCAGGGCAGGAAAAGGAAUUCUGGGCAUGGCCUCACAGCCUUCCGGGAAAACACGGUGUGCUCAGCCACACUAGAGCAGGGGAGAACCAGGAGGAGCUGGCAGCCUUGGAUUCAUUAAGGUCCCAUCCUACAGGGCUCUCCAACCCUCCCUGCCCACCUUUCCCGAGGAUACUCAGAAACGAGACAGUGACUCCUAAUGGGCCGACUUCUCCUUUCCCACCAAGUCCUCACCAGUAUCACUCAGGGCUCCAUCCUCCCCCAGAGCCUAAACCACACACCCAGACCUAUGCCUUCCCCUACCAGUCUGGUUUUCUAUUCACCACCACAGCACUGUGCUUCCAUUUCCUUGGGGAUUUGAGAUGUCUGCUAUGAUCCCAAGAUUAUCUUUAAGGGCUUCCAUAAAAGCCCUUCUCUACCAUACAUUCCUUAGUACUUCAUACGUUACAGAGACAUAAGUUAUCCAAAAUAAUUAUAGCCCGAGGCAUUCAGGAUGAGUGAGUCAUUUGGAUAACCAAAAGCUAAUUCAUUAGGCACCAAAAUAUCUCUAUAGUUUUGCUAAAUUAAAUGAUACCAUAGUAAACAGAGAAUUAAAAAAAAAAAGUUUAAAACUCUACCUAACCUUCAAGAUCCAGACUGAUUACAUAUAUUCCCUCUUGCCACUUCCACCCAAACCAGAAAUAAGCUCUCUUUUUAUCUAUAAUCCCACAUUUUGAUUAUACCUCCUUCACAGCACACUGCAUGGUCUGCUUGAGGUUAGAGGUUUUUUUUUUUUUUUUUCUUUUUCAGCCACACCUGAGGCAUAUGGAAAUUCUCAGGCCAGGGAUCAAAUCUGAGCCGGAGCUUCGACCUACGCCAAAGCUGCAACAAUGCCAGAUCCUUAAACCACUAUGCAGGGCCAGGGAUCGACCCACUGUGCCACAGCAGGAACUCUGAGGUUAGAGAUUUAAAUGCAACCUCAUAUAACUUAAGAAAAAGUAAGUUCCUUGAAACCAGAGACCUUUUUUUUCAACCCCAAGGUGCCUAGUUCAAAGCAGGCAUACACUUCACAGGCUGAAUACUCCUAGUAAUUCAGACACUAUAAAUGACACCAUGACACUGCAGAGGCUUCAAGGCUCUGGAGGGUAGGAAAGUGUGAUACUAGAUAGCAUGGUAGUAUCAUUAAAAAUCUUCUUUGGCCUCUGUUCAGUAUUUCUCAGCUUUAGAAGAAAAUGUUUUUCUACAAGAGAAAAAUACUCUCAAUUCCUGUUUUAUUUUUUUUAAGGAUAUUACUUUUUAAAAGUCUCAACUUGCAAACAGAAAGUUCUGGUGGAGCUGGCAUUGCUAAACCUCCAUUGCCACACUUUCUAAAUCUCAAAAUGUGCAUUGAAAUGGCUGCCUGCAGUUCACCAGGGAGAUGAGACCACGUGGAAAGCGCUAAGUGGCAGGGAUAUAGCCAAGAUGCUGUGCCAUGUCUGGCACCCAGUUCAUCAGUUUGAAAGCCAGUCUCCUCAGUACCGACAGUGCUACAAGGAAUUAAGAAAUACAGCACAUGAUAGAGCCACCCAAGUUUUAGCUGAAGGUCCUAAAGCAGCCACUUCUAGCAGGGCUGACAAUAUUGUUUUCCCAUAGCAGUGGUGUCUGGGCUUGACAAACCAGGCAGUAAGUAUAGUUUAAUAUUCUAAACACUCAAUUUAAACUCAAGCCCUCCUUACAACAGGGUCAGACAAGGAGUCAUACAAGCAUGGCAACCUCUAAGUUCCCUCCCCAGCAGCUAAUCUCUUUUUGGAUUCCUCUUCCUUGUCAUGGAAAGGAACAGAAUUUUCUUCAUGAAAAUAGGGAGAAUGGGGUGGUGGGGCUGCUGGUAUCAUGGCAUUAAGCAUCUGGUCAUGUACGCAGCCCCUCCAGGAUAAUAACUGCUCGUAUCUCUGGCUUGUCACAGAGUAAAAGGUUUUUUAAUCCAGUAUCUUCAGAGACAGAGCUGUGUCACAUAAGGUAAUUUUACUCAUAAUCAAAGCACUAAAACAUGCAAGCUUAUAAAUUAAAUUGUAUUAUUUCCUUCUCCACCUUUCUGAGCUAACCAAACUAUAAUUUGACCUAUUCCUGAUGACCAGAACAGUAAUUGUGAUUAAUGUAUUCAGAGACCACUGGGGCAAACAAGUCUGUUUCCUCAUGAAUGUCCCCAUAUCACUGUACUUUGAAUUAUUCUGUAGAGCAUUUUUGUCUCUGUCAUCACCAGCAAUCUCUCCUUGCUUUCAUCAGGGUGUUUGCCUCUAAUGGAGGGUCUUUUAAUUCAGAGCUUCUGAAGUCAGACUCAGAAAGGCAAGCUCUCAAGAGUCACCAGCCUCACUUCCGACCCAGGCAGUCAGCCUCCAGACCCUAUGUUCUUAUCCACUAUAGCCGCAUUCCCAAACCUCCCUAAUUCUAAAGAAUUUGGGGGGGGUGUUAAAAUACACAUUCUCAGUCCCCUCUCCUAGAAAUUCUAAUUAGAUUCAGUGGACUGGGGUGGAGCCCUGGAAUCUAUAUUCUUACCACAGACCCUCAGAAGAUUUCCCAUACUACAUGUCAUCCAUGCUGCCCUCUUGGAAUUGGGAUUCCUUCAGAAGCAUAGUGAACCUGGCCCAAAGCCAAUUUCUUCCAAAGAGACGUUGCAAGCAAAAAAGCUUCCAGGGCACUGCUCUUCCACUGCCCUCGGGCAAAAAUACUCUGACCUUCGGAGAUUCCUGUAGGUUGGCCAUCACACCUCCUUUCACUGCUGGUACAUCAUUCACCAAAGACUUGGCACACCUUCCUUCUCUCCACCCCAAAUGUCCUGCCAUCCUUUUGAUGGCUUGGAUAACCACAUGGAUGACCCAGACAACGCUCCAGUCUGCUCCUGACCUCCUUGACUUCACUCAUCUUCACGAGUUUGCUUCACUUCAGCCACAUACGUCUGUGGAGCCUGUCAUGUCCAGUAAUUAACUGCCCCAGAUCUGAAAUCUUUCACUCACAUGUACCUCCCUAACCACAUCCUCCAGUUCCCACUGUGGCAUAAAGGGAUCGAUGGUGUCUUGGAAACACUGGGACACAGGUUUGAUCCCCAGCCUGCACAGUGGAUUAAGGAUCUGGCAUUUCCACAGCUGCAGCUUAGGUCACAAAUGCGGCUCGGAUCCCAUCCCUGGCCCACAAACUCCAUAUGCUGUAGGGUAG
ensembl:lncRNA